GAACUUAGCAGAGAUGCUUUGGUGCCUUCGGGAACUCUGAGACAGGUGCUGCAUGGCUGUCGUCAGCUCGUGUUGUGAAAUGUUGGUUAAGUCCCGCAACGAGCGCAACCCUUAUCCUUUGUUGCCAGCGGCUCGGCCGGGAACUCAAAGGAGACUGCCGGUGAUAAACCGGAGGAAGGUGGGGAUGACGUCAAGUCAUCAUGGCCCUUACGGCCAGGGCUACACACGUGCUACAAUGGCGCAUACAAAGAGAAGCGACCUCGCGAGAGCAAGCGGACCUCAUAAAGUGCGUCGUAGUCCGGAUUGGAGUCUGCAACUCGACUCCAUGAAGUCGGAAUCGCUAGUAAUCGUAGAUCAGAAUGCUACGGUGAAUACGUUCCCGGGCCUUGUACACACCACCCGUCACACCAUGGGAGUGGGUUGCAAAAGAAGUAGGUAGCUUAACCUUCGGGAGGGCGCUUACCACUUUGUGAUUCAUGACUGGGGUGAAGUCGUAACAAGGUAAGCGUAGACGU
rnacentral:rRNA from 1 species